rnacentral:rRNA from 1 species
GGACGAACGCUGGCGGCGUGCCUAAUACAUGCAAGUCGAGCGGACAGAUGGGAGCUUGCUCCCUGAUGUUAGCGGCGGACGGGUGAGUAACACGUGGGUAACCUGCCUGUAAGACUGGGAUAACUCCGGGAAACCGGGGCUAAUACCGGAUGGUUGUUUGAACCGCAUGGUUCAAACAUAAAAGGUGGCUUCGGCUACCACUUACAGAUGGACCCGCGGCGCAUUAGCUAGUUGGUGAGGUAACGGCUCACCAAGGCAACGAUGCGUAGCCGACCUGAGAGGGUGAUCGGCCACACUGGGACUGAGACACGGCCCAGACUCCUACGGGAGGCAGCAGUAGGGAAUCUUCCGCAAUGGACGAAAGUCUGACGGAGCAACGCCGCGUGAGUGAUGAAGGUUUUCGGAUCGUAAAGCUCUGUUGUUAGGGAAGAACAAGUACCGUUCGAAUAGGGCGGUACCUUGACGGUACCUAAC